ensembl:snoRNA small nucleolar RNA, C/D box 54
UGGCAAUGAGGACAAAAAGUGUUAACUGAACUACCAUGAUUAGUGAAUACGCUAUUCUGAGCCAACA